rnacentral:rRNA from 1 species
AAAUGAAUAGACGGGGACCCGCACAAGCAGCGGAGCAUGUGGUUUAAUUCGAAGCAACGCGAAAAACCUUACCAGGGCUUGACAUCCCUCUGACCGCACUUUAACAGGUGCUUUCUUCGGACAGAGGUGACAGGUGGUGCAUGGUUGUCGUCAGCUCGUGUCGUGAGAUGUUGGGUUAAGUCCCGCAACGAGCGCAACCCUUGCCGUCAGUUACUAACAUUAAGUUGAGGACUCUGACGGGACUGCCGAGGUCAACUCGGAGGAAGGUGGGGAUGACGUCAAAUCAUCAUGCCCCUUAUGUUCUGGGCUACACACGUGCUACAAUGGUCGGUACAAUGAGAAGCAAGAUGGCGACAUGGAGCAAAUCACCAAAACCGAUCCCAGUUCGGAUUGCAGGCUGCAACUCGCCUGCAUGAAGUCGGAGUUGCUAGUAAUCGCGAAUCAGCAUGUCGCGGUGAAUGCGUUCCCGGGUCUUGUACACACCGCCCGU